UACGUAGGGUGCAAGCGUUUGUCCGGAAUUAUUGGGCGUAAAGAGCUCGUAGGCGGCUGAUCGCGUCGGUUGUGAAAGCUCAGGGCUCAACCCUGAGACGCCAAUCGAUACGGAUCGGCUAGAGGUAGGUAGGGGAAAGUGGAAUUCCUGGUGUAGCGGUGAAAUGCGCAGAUAUCAGGAGGAACACCGGUGGCGAAGGCGGCUUUCUGGGCCUUACCUGACGCUGAGGAGCGAAAGCUGGGGGAGCAAACGGG
rnacentral:rRNA from 1 species